UACGGCCAUAGAAGCAAGAAAUCACCACAUCCCGUUCGCUCUGUGCAGUUAAGGUUGCUAUCGCCUGGCUAGUACCAUCGUGGGGGACCAGAUGGGAAUCCCAGGUGCUGUAGUU